rnacentral:tRNA from 1 species
GUUUUAAUAGUUUAAAUAAAAUAUAGAUCUUGUAAAUCUAAGAUAAUAAAAUUUUUAAAGCU